AAACGAUACGGGNUCUUAAUAGGUCUCGCAAUUGGAAUGAGUACAAUUUAAAUCCUUUAACGAGGAUCAAUUGGAGGGCAAGUCUGGUGCCAGCAGCCGCGGUAAU
rnacentral:rRNA from 1 species